AACCCUAUGGAUACAAACCAACUCGCCAUGGAGGCCGGAGACACAGACGGACCCAUCAGGACUCGAGCACAAAAACAACCGUCCAACGCAACAGAAACUGAACUUCAAGAAAAAGCCACGCAACCAUCACUAACGUGUUCAUCAUGCCAGCACUGCAGUCAUCCCGAGCCAUAAUCUCUAUUUGCAUAUUGGUCCCAGAAUCCCUAGUGAGCCAAACUGAAGCUUCUGUGCAAUACUGAGAGCCAAUAAGGAGUGUGGCAGGACAAGCAGCCUGUUCCAUGGCUUUAAAGAGAAGAUGGAUUGUACUCUGCUAUAAUAUGGCAGGCGAAAUAGCCAUUUCCAUGACAACUGGUGACUUAGCAACAGGAACAAAGAUCUUAUGCAGAAGUGGAGAUUGAAACAACAGAGGGGGAAAAUCUUACAUCAACAGUCCUUGAGAAAUAAGUUAUAUCGUCUAUGAACCUAGCCCAAAAUUGGACCCCGUCAAUGAAAUGGUGAGUGUCAGUGAGGAAGAUUAUACACUCCCAGGUUGGCACAUGAGGGCCCGUAGACGUGCCUUAUACUUGCAGAUAAACUGUCUGCUUAAACAUGAAGAAGUUGUGAGUUAAUGCAAACUGUAAUAAAUUUAUGAUGAACUCGCCCACAUCCACAUAGAUUUCAGACAUCCUCAAAAACGUCUUGACUGCGUUGAUGCCAUGAGUAUGUCAGAUUGAAGUGUACAGUGAUUCAACAUCGCAGGUAACAAUCAUGUCUUCAUACAAAUGAAUGUCUUCCAUCCUAAGGAGGACAUCAGUUGUAUCCUUAAUAUAUGAUGGUAUCAUUUCAACCAUAUUACGUAGGACAGAGUCAAUGAGUUUGCAAGUGGGCUCACAGACAUUGUUCCUACCUGAAACGAUAGGUCGGCCCGGUAGAGACGUAGCAUGUUUGUGAACCUUAAGUAAGAGAUAAAGGGUCGCGAUGGUGGGAUUUUCGACCAUUAGAUACCCCAUCUGUUGAUGUGAAAUGGUACCUCUAGACACGGCUUGAAGAAGGAUAGUUUUCAGUUCGAUCUGAAGUUUAGAAGUGUUAUUAAAAGUUGUUUUUUUUAUAACAGGUGGUAUCACGUAGUUGCCUCAUGGCUUCUUUUUCAUAGAGGUAGGUAGGCCAAAUCACCAUGUUCCCACCUUUGUUAGAUGGUUUGAUAACCACAUCUGACAUAUGUUGUAUAUCCACCAUUAAUGUUCUCAAUUUCUUUUGUCGCCAAUUGCACAAAUAAAUCAAUAUUGGAGAAUAGUGAUAAUGGGGGACACUUACGUGAUUUCGGGGUUAAUGUCUUUGGAAACCAUUCUGGAAGUGAACUCUCCUGUUCUUCCAUUAAAGGGGUACUCCCGUGGA